UUAUCUGCCCGGUGAAUUAUUUAAACGGCCGCAGUACCUUGACUGUGCAAAGGUAGCAUAAUCAAUUGACUUUUAAAUGGAGCCUAGAAUGAAUGAGAGAACGUAGAUGAGUUGUCUCAUUGGCAAUAACUUAAAAUUAAUAUAUGAGUGAAAAUACUCAUAAAAUUAAAAAUAGACGAGAAGACCCUUAGAAUUUUAAAGAGGUGCACUAUUAAAAUGUAAGCUUUUUUGUUGGGGCAACAAUAUUUCACUGAAUAAGUAUACUAUGGAAAAAUAUAUCGAUUUAAUAAUUAUAGUAAAAUUACCUAAGGGAUAACAGCAUAAUUUUAAAAGUAAGUUUGUGACCUCGAUGUUGGACUAGGUACUAUUAAGGCUAAUCGUUUUAA
rnacentral:rRNA from 1 species